UCAUGGCUCAGACGAACGCUGGCGGCGUGCCUAAUACAUGCAAGUCGAGCGAGCGGAACUAACAGAUUUACUUCGGUAAUGACGUUAGGAAAGCGAGCGGCGGAUGGGUGAGUAACACGUGGGGAACCUGCCCCAUAGUCUGGGAUACCACUUGGAAACAGGUGCUAAUACCGGAUAAGAAAGCAGAUCGCAUGAUCAGCUUUUAAAAGGCGGCGUAAGCUGUCGCUAUGGGAUGGCCCCGCGGUGCAUUAGCUAGUUGGUAAGGUAAAGGCUUACCAAGGCGAUGAUGCAUAGCCGAGUUGAGAGACUGAUCGGCCACAUUGGGACUGAGACACGGCCCAAACUCCUACGGGAGGCAGCAGUAGGGAAUCUUCCACAAUGGACGCAAGUCUGAUGGAGCAACGCCGCGUGAGUGAAGAAGGUUUUCGGAUCGUAAAGCUCUGUUGUUGGUGAAGAAGGAUAGAGGUAGUAACUGGCCUUUAUUUGACGGUAAUCAACCAGAAAGUCACGGCUAACUACGUGCCAGCAGCCGCGGUAAUACGUAGGUGGCAAGCGUUGUCCGGAUUUAUUGGGCGUAAAGCGAGCGCAGGCGGAAGAAUAAGUCUGAUGUGAAAGCCCUCGGCUUAACCGAGGAACUGCAUCGGAAAC
rnacentral:rRNA from 1 species